AUAUCACGUUGAAACACCCAUUCCCGUAGGAUCACCGAAACUAAGCAACGUCGAGCCUGGUCAGUACCUUGAUGGGUUACCGGUUGGGAAUACCAA